GCCAAGGUUGGCCUCAAACUUGUGAUCUUCCUGCCGGGUUCCUGAGUAGCUGGAAUUACAGUUCUGCACCCCUCCCCCCCCCCAGGUGACUGUUCCCUGACUCAGAGUGAAUCCUCCUACUGCUUCCUGCUCAGCUGAAUCAACACUUCCGGAGGUUGUGACUAAGAGAAGCCACAGCCCAUGGUUAUACUUGACUUUUGAAAAUCCUGGUUCUUUAAGGACAUAAUUACAAGGACCCAUGCUUAUAGAAUAAGGCAAUGACUUCUUCCAACCCAGCCAAAGAUGGAAGGUGAUGCUUCCAAAGAUGGAAGAUGAAUCAGCAGGGCUCUCUCCCAGGACAGCAGAUGCACCUGGAGGUAGAGCAUGGCCCUGAGAAUAAAACACUACUGGAGGAGAUAUUUCAUUAAAUGAAGGAAUAAACUGAGAAGGAUAAUGCCACCCCAAACAGAAGAGAGAUGAAGGGAAUUCCCAGGCUGGUUGCAAAGAGACAAUCCAGAAUGACAGCAGAGAAGCACAUCAAGAGAGACACGAAUUCAGAUUGGCACAAGAUGCUUAAGGAGGCAAAGUAGGAAGUUCCAAAACGUAAUGAAGCUGACAUUUUAUCAGAUACAUUGAAGGUUUUGAGUAUUUAUAGUUCUAUUUGAAAGUCUGGAUAAAAAUAAGAGAUAGGUUUAUGCAGGAAACUGAUAAAAUAAGAAACUAUUAAAAACUCUAGGGACAAACAAAAAUUAAGCAAGCAAAGAAAUAUAUUACCCUACAUAUUCAGCUGCAAGUAAUAGUUAUAAAAUCUUAUAAUAUUUUAAGUAGGGAAAUAUUUAAAUCAUAAUUAUAAAAUUAAUGGGAUUAGAUACUAGAGUAGGUGAAGUGUGUGUGUGUGUGUGUGUGUGUGUGUGUGUGUGUAGUAUAAGAAUAUAAAUACUCAUUUUUCUUUAGGGAAACUCAAUAGAUAAUAUUUAAGGCGAAAACACCAUAAGUACCUAUUUAGAAACAAGGUGAUAACCACUAGAAUAAUAACUAUGAAGUGGAAAACUAGUGUCUUUCACUUCAGAAUUAAUGUGAACAUUUACUAAUUUCCCUAGCAAGUAGAACUUUUAAAAAGGCAGCAUUUGGAAUUUUGAUUAUUUUUUUUAAAAAAUUUUUUGUUGAAUUAUUUGAAUUUUAAAAUUUCUGUUCAGCAUCCAGUUUUUGACCCAUCAAGGCAGAAGUUUGGAAUUCAUCACUGUGUCCUAACAAGUAAAAAAUUUAACAAAUUAAAAAUUAAUAGCUGGUCUUAGAUCCGUAAAGGAAGUGAGGUAGGUCAGAGUUUGCCUCACAAACAUUUGUAGGAACAGAACUGAGGCAGAAAAAGUGAACUGUAAUUGAGGAAUUGCUAGAGGGUUAGUGUGGACAAAUCUGAGAUAAAACCUCCGGGAGAACUCAGUCAUCGGGGAUCCUGCUCUAUGAGUUUUACCUCCUGGCAUUCUACCAGACUCUCAUAGUGAAUGUCAGAGAAAUAUCCCCUCAUGCUUCCAGCAGAGGAGGAUAAAAUGGCUAAUUUUGAAAUGUACCUGAGCAUUCUGUUCUUAACAGGAGAAACUUAGUUUCAGGAGAAACUAAAUAGUGCCUAAAGUGCUGGGGUUUUAUCAGAGCCUAAGUGAGCUGAAGCCCAGCUCUAGCUGACUUUAGCUAUACUGUCUCACCCAAGGGUGAAAAAAUGGUGAAGACCUUGUCAAGUUCAGAGGCUCACCAAAAGACUGAAACCUAAUAAUCCUGGGACUACAGAAGCUUCACCCUUCUCCCUACCUAACUUACCACAUUAUUAAGGGCCUGUUUACAGAAGUUUCUUCCAUCUAGUAAGUUGUGUCUGCUCUCACCAAAAAUUUUCAAGACACACUAAAACAGAAAACAAAGUUUGAAGAGACAGAGCCAUCAUCAGAACCAGUGUAGUUGGAAUUUUUACAUAAGACAUUUAAAACAACUGUGAAUAAAGUAGUAAAAGCUCUGAUGGAUAAAGUCAACAGAAUGCAAGAAAUGGGCAGUAGAAGCAGAGAGAUGGGAACCCUAAGAAGGAACCUAAAAGAAAUAGCAUUUGAUCUCUAGCAGAGAUCAAAAGCCCUAUAAUAGAAAUGAUGAAUGCCUUUGAUGGACUGAUUAGUAGACUGGACAAGGCUGAGAAAGGUCUCUGAGCUUGAGUAUAUAGCAAUAGAAACUUCCAGACUGAAAAGAGGAAAAGACUGAAAAAAAAAAAAGAAGAAUGCAAUAUCCAAUAAAUCUGGGA